AUCUUUAUAGUGUAUUUCAACACACUUCAUUUUCGUUGAAGAGAAGAAGCUCCUUUGUUUCUUAAGAUG
rnacentral:tRNA from 1 species